rnacentral:rRNA from 1 species
GACGAACGCUGGCGGCGUGCUUAACACAUGCAAGUCGAACGAAAAGAGGGAAAGAGCUUGCUCUUUCCGGAAUUGAGUGGCAAACGGGUGAGUAACACGUAAACAACCUGCCUUCAGGAUGGGGACAACAGACGGAAACGACUGCUAAUACCGAAUAAGUUCCAAGAGCCGCAUGGCCCAUGGAAGAAAAGGUGGCCUCUACCUGUAAGCUAUCGCCUGAAGAGGGGUUUGCGUCUGAUUAGCUGGUUGGAGGGGUAACGGCCCACCAAGGCGACGAUCAGUAGCCGGUCUGAGAGGAUGAACGGCCACACUGGAACUGAGACACGGUCCAGACUCCUACGGGAGGCAGCAGUGGGGAAUCUUCCGCAAUGGGCGAAAGCCUGACGGAGCAACGCCGCGUGAGUGAUGACGGCCUUCGGGUUGUAAAACUCUGUGAUCCGGGACGAAAAGGCAGAGUGCGAAGAACAAACUGCAUUGACGGUAC